UCCUUAAGGAUCCAUGCCAGCUAGCAGGUAAACCAGAGACUGACUUGCUGACAUCUUCCUUACCUUAUUCCUCAGGUAUAUAUCCUAGGCAGGGACAAUUUACAGAAUGCAUCCCAACCUGGUUUUGUAAGAAUAAGAAAAUUAUCUGAGGGCUCCCAAGGGUCUCCUGUGCAUAGCAUCUUCAUCUUCCAACUUAGAACAACUAAAGAAAUUCAGUCUUUUUGUGUAAUGAAAAAAGGAUGGGCUGGGCACAGUGGCUCACACCUGUGAUCCCAGCACUUUGGGAGACCAAGGUGGGAGGAUUGCUUGAGCCCAGGAACAAGACCAGCCUGGGCAACAUAGCGAGACCCUGUCUCUAUAAAAAAAAAAUAAAUAAGAAGAAAAAAGGAUGCAGGAAAUUAACAACUAGGAUAGCCAACACCCUCACUAAAGCAUCAAUUUCCACAUGAUGUUAAGGUAAGUACCAAGUAGAAGUAUCUUUGACUUUAAGGAGCUUUGGACACAAAAACUUUUCCUUAAACAAGUCAUUUAUUUUCUAAACAUGGACUUCCACUAGUUGUGUAACUCUCCUAGAAUUCUAGCCAAUAUUUAAUAAUUGUUGCCAUACUUUAAGUAUAGUAUAUUAUUAAAAACUACCAGUUAUCUUAAACUUGCACAUGGAGGGAGAAGUAUAUGAAACUCUCAGUUCACUAACUAGACCAAAAUCCUCCUCAAUGACACUAAGGUUGUAAUACUAAAAAGUCCCCAUCACCCUCCCAGGAGUCUAUUAAGCUGUGGUUAACAGA